rnacentral:rRNA from 1 species
UACGUAGGGUGCGAGCGUUGUCCGGAAUUAUUGGGCGUAAAGGGCUCGUAGGCGGUCUGUCGCGUCGGGAGUGAAAACUCAGGGCUUAACCCUGAGCCUGCUUCUGAUACGGGCAGACUAGAGGUAUGCAGGGGAGAACGGAAUUCCUGGUGUAGCGGUGAAAUGCGCAGAUAUCAGGAGGAACACCGGUGGCGAAGGCGGUUCUCUGGGCAUUACCUGACGCUGAGGAGCGAAAGUGUGGG